rnacentral:rRNA from 1 species
GUACACGAGCGGCGAACGGGUGAGUAACACGUGGGUGAUCUGCCUCGCACUCUGGGAUAAGCCUGGGAAACUGGGUCUAAUACCGGAUAUGACCUCGAGUCGCAUGGCUCUUGGUGGAAAGAUUUAUUGGUGCGAGAUGGGCCCGCGGCCUAUCAGCUUGUUGGUGGGGUAAUGGCCUACCAAGGCGACGACGGGUAGCCGGCCUGAGAGGGCGACCGGCCACACUGGGACUGAGACACGGCCCAGACUCCUACGGGAGGCAGCAGUGGGGAAUAUUGCACAAUGGGCGAAAGCCUGAUGCAGCGACGCCGCGUGAGGGAUGACGGCCUUCGGGUUGUAAACCUCUUUCGACAGGGACGAAGCGCAAGUGACGGUACCUGUAGAAGAAGCACCGGCCAACUACGUGCCAGCAGCCGCGGUAAUACGUAGGGUGCGAGCGUUGUCCGGAAUUACUGGGCGUAAAGAGCUUGUAGGCGGUUUGUCGCGUCUUCUGUGAAAACUUGGGGCUCAACCUUAAGCUUGCAGGCGAUACGGGCAGACUAGAGUACUUCAGGGGAGACUGGAAUUCCUGGUGUAGCGGUGAAAUGCGCAGAUAUCAGGAGGAACACCGGUGGCGAAGGCGGGUCUCUGGGAAGUAACUGACGCUGAGAAGCGAAAGCAUG